GCCCAUCGCCGGGGGCGCCGAAAGGCUGAGAUGCACCCUUUGAACCUGAACCAGAUAAUGCUGGCGGAGGGAGGCAGGGUCUGACCUUC
rnacentral:ncRNA from 2 species